CCUACGGGUGGCAGCAGUGGGGAAUAUUGGGCAAUGGAGGAAACUCUGACCCAGCAACGCCGCGUGAAGGAUGAAGGUUUUCUGAUUGUAAACUUCUGUCUCUAGGGAUGAAGAAUGACGGUACCUCGGAAGACAGCCCCGGCAAACUACGUGCAAGCAGCCGCGGUAAUACGUAGGGGGCGAGCGUUGUCCGGAAUGAAUGGGCGUAAAGGGAGUGUAGGCGGCAUAUUAAGUUAUGUGUGAAAGCCCGCGGCUCAACCGCGGAAUUGCACAUAAAACUGGUAAGCUGGAGUGCAGGAGAGGUGAGUGGAAUUCGUGGUGUAGCGGUGGAAUGCGUAGAUAUCGGGAGGAACACCAGAGGCGAAGGCGAUUUACUGGACUGUAACUGACGCUGAGGCUCGAAAGCGUGGGGAGCAAACAGGAUUAGAUACCCUGGUAGUC
rnacentral:rRNA from 1 species